UACAGUCUACUGACAUUCCUGACUCCAUGUUCAUGACAGUCUCCCAUGUGUCCAUCUUGUCAUCUUAUGAAGACCCUACUCAUACUGGAUUAGAGCUUACAGUAUUCCAACAUGACCUCCUUUUGCUUGACUGAUUAAAUCUGAAGAGAUCCUGUGGUCAGACACAGUAACAUUCACUGGAGGUAAGGUGGGAAUGCACAUCUGGAAGAGGAGAGAAAUCCAGCUUGGUUGAAACAUGGUGGGUUAAAUGAAACUGGAGCUGGCUGAGCCGGGCAUCCGAGGAGAGCCAAGCAUGAAGAAACUGACUCCAUCCUGAACCCUUCAGCACUGCCCUCCAAAAGAUUCAGGAACUCACUGCCGAAGACAAUUAGGGCUGCUGCAGGGUGCACAGAGGGGCGCAGGACAUUAGGAGUCUUUUACAUGCUAUUAGUAAGACUUAUCUGACAAACUGGUAAUUAUACAACAGGAGGCCAUUUAGUCUCUUAGGCUGCUGCAGUCCAGAGCUUUCUUUCUUCUUCAUCGUUAUCCCCCGCCCCCCUCGCCAACUCUCACAUUUAUGCACCCAUAGUCUUUCAUCUAAAGCAGUGCAUUGGUAAAAAUGUUUGGCUAGGUGCCUUUUAAAAUUACUUUUAGCAAAUAUGUCUGUGGGGGCCCACAGAGACCCCAGCUUGUGGCUUGUUUUCAUCUUGACUCAAGGUCAGAGAGUCUGAGCUUGUUUCCCCACCUGCAAGGCUGCAUAAGAGGAUGUUUUGGCCAAAGGCGUGGUCACCAGAUAUCUUGAGUACUAGGGAGAUGUUUACACUUAACUGUGCUUUGUACUUUGAAAUGUGAUGUCCUUCAAAGAGGGAGGUCUUUUUGCUCCCCGCCCCUUGCCUUGGGUAUUUAAAGGCUGUGAGUAAUAAAACUUGGGUCUGUGGUAUUGACCCAGAGCCCUCGGGAAGCUA